rnacentral:rRNA from 2 species
GGGAUUGCCCUAGUAACGGCGAGUGAAGCGGCAACAGCUCAAAUUUGAAAUCUGGCUCCCUUUGGGGGUCCGAGUUGUAAUUUGCAGAGGGUGCUUUGGCGUUGGUGGCGGUCUAAGUUCCUUGGAACAGGACAUCGCAGAGGGUGAGAAUCCCGUUUGUGGUCGCAUGCCUUCGCCGUGUAAAGCCCCUUCGACGAGUCGAGUUGUUUGGGAAUGCAGCUCUAAAUGGGAGGUAAAUUUCUUCUAAAGCUAAAUACUGGCCAGAGACCGAUAGCGCACAAGUAGAGUGAUCGAAAGAUGAAAAGCACUUUGGAAAGAGAGUCAAACAGCACGUGAAAUUGUUGAAAGGGAAGCGCUUGCAGCCAGACUUGCCCGCAGUUGCUCACCUAGGCUUUUGCCUGGGGCAUUCUUCUGCGGGCAGGCCAGCAUCAGUUUGGGCGGUCGGAUAAAGGCCUCUGUCACGUAUCUUCCUUCGGGAUGACCUUAUAGGGGAGGCGAAAUGCGACCAGCCUGGACUGAGGUCCGCGCAUCUGCUAGGAUGCUGGCGUAAUGGCUGUAAGCGGCCCGUCUUGAAACACGGACCAAGGAGUCUAACAUCUAUGCGAGUGUUUGGGUGUCAAGCCCGAGCGCGUAAUGAAAGUGAACGGAGGUGGGAACCCUCGGGUGCACCAUCGACCGAUCCUGAUGUCUUCGGAUGGAUUUGAGUAAGAGCAUAGCUGUUGGGACCCGAAAGAUGGUGAACUAUGCUUGAAUAGGGUGAAGCCAGAGGAAACUCUGGUGGAGGCUCGCAGCGGUUCUGACGUGCAAAUCGAUCGUCAAAUUUGGGCAUAGGGGCG